rnacentral:rRNA from 1 species
UUGAACGCUGGCGGCAGGCCUAACACAUGCAAGUCGAGCGGAUGAAGGGAGCUUGCUCUCUGAUUCAGCGGCGGACGGGUGAGUAAUGCCUAGGAAUCUGCCUGAUAGUGGGGGACAACGUUUCGAAAGGAACGCUAAUACCGCGUACGUCCUACGGGAGAAAGCAGGGGACCUUCGGGCCUUGCGCUAUCAGAUGAGCCUAGGUCGGAUUAGCUAGUUGGUGAGGUAACGGCUCACCAAGGCGACGAUCCGUAACUGGUCUGAGAGGAUGAUCAGUCACACUGGAACUGAGACACGGUCCAGACUCCUACGGGAGGCAGCAGUGGGGAAUAUUGGACAAUGGGCGAAAGCCUGAUCCAGCCAUGCCGCGUGUGUGAAGAAGGUCUUCGGAUUGUAAAGCACUUUAAGUUGGGAGGAAGGGCAUUAACCUAAUACGUUAGUGUUUUGACGUUACCGACAGAAUAAGCACCGGCUAACUUCGUGCCAGCAGCCGCGGUAAUACGAAGGGUGCAAGCGUUAAUCGGAAUUACUGGGCGUAAAGCGAGCGUAGGUGGCUUGAUAAGUCAGAUGUGAAAUCCCCGGGCUUAACCUGGGAACUGCAUCUGAUACUGUCAGGCUAGAGUAGGUGAGAGGAAGGUAGAAUUCCAGGUGUAGCGGUGAAAUGCGUAGAGAUCUGGAGGAAUACCGAUGGCGAAGGCAGCCUUCUGGCAUCAUACUGACACUGAGGCUCGAAAGCGUGGGUAGCAGACAGGAUUAGAUACCCUGGUAGUCCACGCCGUAAACGAUGUCUACUAGUCGUUGGGUCCCUUGAGGACUUAGUGACGCAGCUAACGCAAUAAGUAGACCGCCUGGGGAGUACGGCCGCAAGGUUAAAACUCAAAUGAAUUGACGGGGGCCCGCACAAGCGGUGGAGCAUGUGGUUUAAUUCGAUGCAACGCGAAGAACCUUACCUGGUCUUGACAUAUCUAGAAUCCUGCAGAGAUGCGGGAGUGCCUUCGGGAAUUAGAAUACAGGUGCUGCAUGGCUGUCGUCAGCUCGUGUCGUGAGAUGUUGGGUUAAGUCCCGUAACGAGCGCAACCCUUGUCCUUAGUUACCAGCACGUUAAGGUGGGCACUCUAAGGAGACUGCCGGUGACAAACCGGAGGAAGGUGGGGAUGACGUCGAGUCAUCAUGGCCCUUACGGCCUGGGCUACACACGUGCUACAAUGGUCGGUACAAAGGGUUGCCAAGCCGCGAGGUGGAGCUAAUCCCAUAAAACCGAUCGUAGUCCGGAUCGCAGUCUGCAACUCGACUGCGUGAAGUCGGAAUCGCUAGUAAUCGUGAAUCAGAAUGUCACGGUGAAUACGUUCCCGGGCCUUGUACACACCGCCCGUCACACCAUGGGAGUGGGUUGCUCCAGAAGUAGCUAGUCUAACCUUCGGGGGGACGGUUACCACGGAGUGAUUCAUGACUGGGGUG